rnacentral:lncRNA from 8 species
AUGUGCAGAAGUUUGGUCUAGCGCAGCGGUUCCUUUCCGGGUACCACCAAAUCACUGUCAAAAGCUCGAGGACCACGAUUUGCAAAUUCGUGUGAAUCUUUUAACAUAAAAUGUAGUCAGUUUCAUCAGAGAAUGUAAUGAAAUGGCUAUUAUUACAGAUAGAUGUUUAUUAAACAAUAUGCAUUUUGAAAAGGACUACACAAUCUCUUCCCCCGGAGACCGGGGUUCAAUCCCUGGCAAUAGUGUAAUAAUUACAAUUUUCUUUCUUUUGUGGUAGAUCUGUUUUGGAGAAGAGUUGGUUGCCGCCAUCGAUGGUGGGAACGGCAAAGGUCCCAGGAUAUAUGAAGUCCUACACUAACUCCAAGAAGCCCUCUGCAGAACAACAAGGAGAUGACAUCUUUGCGUUCAAAGUGGAUACAUCUAUGACCACUGGGGUAAAUAAAUAUACAUUUGAUCUACGUAAAUUAAAUUAUUGAAUUAAGCCUACUAUUUGUUAGCAGACUUGGGUUCAAAUACCUAAGCUGUGCUUGAUUGAGCUUGCCUGUUGCAAUGGAACCAAUAAAAAUGUGCAAACCUGCCCACCUAGCACUCCAAGCAGGCUACAGCAAAUGCUUGAAGUAUUUGAAAGAUUUAAAAUAGCAUUUGACACUUUUCAAUUGGUUCCAUCGCAACAGGCAAGCUCAAUCAAGCACAGCUUAGGUAUUUGAAAUGAUUCCUUAUAGUAUUCUCAUGCACCGGUGGAUGAUGAUUUCUAACGCUCUGCUCUCUUUAGGGGGAGGGGAAAAUGUCCUCGGACACCUCUGCCAUUGAUAGCAGUGCUAUUCACAACUCCUGGGCAUUCCCCAGCACUGCCAAGAAGGGCCAAGCAGUCAAGUCCCAGGUAGCGGCUCCGCGGCGCCACGUGAAGAAGCACCUGUUCAGCGACACAGACACAGACGCCAUCAUGGAGAUCAGCUGGCUCAAAGAGUCCAGCAGGAAGCCCAAGCCCAAAGUGAUCGACUACAGCCGUCAGCCCCGGCUCCACCCCCCUGCCCCCAACACCACAUAUGAGUCCCCAGACUUACCACCUAGCUCACCCAAGCCUGUGAAGGAGAAAGCCAAGCCAAAGAAGAAGAGACAGAGGGUGAAGGAGAGAAGUGUAGAGCAGAAAGAGAACAGUGGAGCGGCACUGGUGGCAGCAGGGACCAGUCAAGCAGCCAGGAGACCCCAGAGAGCCGUCGCCACCAACGCCAAGAGCUACAGGGAGCCCGACAGCGCCAGCCAAUCAGAGACUGAAGAGCCGCCCGCUCCUAAGGUCCUGCUUUCUUCCCUCACAAAUAUGCCCUUUCCUCAUGAUUAG